rnacentral:rRNA from 1 species
ACCUGGUUGAUCCUGCCAGUAGUCAUAUGCUUGUCUCAAAGAUUAAGCCAUGCAUGUCUACGUAUAAGCUUUUAUACGGCGAAACUGCAAGGGGCUCAUUAAAACAGUUACGGUUUAUUUGACAGUCAAUGUACUACAUGGAUAACCGUGGUAAUUCUGUGGCUAACACAUGCGCAAAUACUAUGUCACUUGAAAAUAUAGUAGUGUUUAUUAGAUACAAAAACAAUACACCUCUCACGAUGUAGAAAAAGGUGAUUCAUAGUAACCGAACGGAUCGCAUUAGAAUCACUUCGGUGAUUGGCGAUAGAUCAUUCAAGUUUCUGACCUAUCAGCUUUCGACGGUAGUGUAUUGGACUACCGUGGCAGUGACGGGUAACGGGGAGUUAGGGUUCGAUUCCGGAGAGGCAGCCUGAGAAACGGCUACCACAUCUAAGGAAGGCAGCAGGCGCGCAAAUUACCCAAUCCUGACUCAGGGAGGUAGUGACAAGAAAUAACAACACUGGAAAUUCUAUUUCUAGUGAUUGGAAUGAUGGGAAUCCAAACCCCUUUCAGAGUAACAAUUGGAGGGCAAGUCUGGUGCCAGCAGCCGCGGUAAUUCCAGCUCCAAUAGCGUAUGUUAAAGUUGUUGCAGUUAAAAAGUUCGUAGUUGGAUAUCUGCUGGAAGCAAUCAGUCCGCCCUUUUAGUGAGGGUGUGUACUUGAUGAAUUCUGGCAUGAUUAUCUUCCCAGUAAUAAUAUUAUUAUAUUAGGUUGAUUCCUAAUAUGGUAAUAAUUAUUUUUGGGAAGACAGUUACUUUGAGAAAAUUAGAGUGUUUGAAGCAGGCUUGUUGCCUUGAAUACUGCAGCAUGGAAUAACAAUAUAGGAUUCCGGUUCUAUUUUGUUGGUUUCUAGGACUGAAAUAAUGAUUAAUAGGGACAGUUGGGGGCAUUCGUAUUUAACUGUCAGAGGUGAAAUUCUUAGAUUUGUUAAAGACGAACUACUGCGAAAGCAUUUGCCAAAGAUGUUUUCAUUAAUCAAGAACGAAAGUUAGGGGCUCGAAGACGAUCAG